rnacentral:lncRNA from 1 species
AUUCUUCAAAGAUUUUAUUUGAUAGAGAAGCAUGAGAAUAAUAAAGAUUUAUAUAGGAAAGUAUCUCAACGAAAAAUGGAAUGUCAUUAAAAAAACGAGUUAGCAGUUAAACUAAUUGUAUAAAUAAUAAGAAAAUUAUAUGAACUUUUUGUAUUCUGUUGUAACGCGAAAGCUUAAUUUGGUUUCGUUUUGUGUGAUCUAACAGGCACGUUAAUUCUUCAAAAAUACGCAUUUCUUGACAACCGAAUAAUUAUAAGGAGAGCUUAGCUGUGCGCAAAAUAAGAGGAGAAGGUAUGCGAGAAAGGAAGGCUCCGGGUGAUUACCAUUGGGCGCGAGCAGCUUGCGCAGAAAGAGGGGGAAGGCGCAAUGAUGCCGGGACACGAGAACUGGAAUGAUGAAUUGCAAGGCGCGGCAAUGAAUCAGAGCCCAGCGACAGGCGGUGCACCUACCAACAAUGCGGGCCCGGUUCUUAGAGGCCCACCAAGGCUGACGACAAACACCUUUCCCUGCGGUUGCGCUAAACACUCCAUCUAAACAAUCGUGCGCUUAUUUUAUUUUUAUCGUCUCUCUUUCUACUCGCUAUAUUCUAUUUUCGAGAAAUUGUUAGAAAGACCACCGGAUCGAUUUUUAACACCUUUUCGCUAACAAAUUUCGUGUACAAAUCUUCUCACCUCCACUUCAACGUACAAUUUACAAUAAUCACCCUUUGCUUUCAGUUUUAUUUUUAUUUGCUGUAAAAUAAUGCGAAAAACGCAAGUGCAAGAUAAAUUAAGCUAAACUAUACCGAACAAUUUUCUUAUGUACAUACAGCAAACGUUGCGGCGAUGUAAUUUGUUUAUGUAGCACUGCCAACAAAAAGUAAGAGGUUCAUCAAAAUGUGUGUGUGUGUCGCACCAGCGAGGAAUUAAAUUUUUUCCUAAUCCUAUACAAACGUAGUUUUACUCCAUCGCGAGGCAUUCUCUACGACUGCACUAUAAAUCACUACCAGACGUUUCCUACCUCUAAGUAUACUUUAUUACAACCCAUAAAAUAUAUUUCCUGUGAGUCAUCUGUGUAUCCGUGUGGGCGUGCGGAGAAAACAUCAAAUUCUUCUCAAAAUAAACAUUCACAGCUCUUUUUCUCUUAUAUCAGUUUUUAUUUCAUUCUUAUAACGUUUAAAAACGACAUCUUUUUAAUUGGAAGAUAUUAAAUAUGCCGGAAUGCCAGUACGUUGCCCUCGAGGCAAUAUGAUAAUAACGUCGCCUUUAUAGCCCGGGAGAAAAUCGGUAGCGUCAGGAAUUAAUAUACAAACUUGUUUUACAAGCCGAUCAACUCUCCCUGUCCACGAGUAAGUGGAUUAAAUGAAAUUGCGGCCUCAAUACUUGAACGGAUCAUGCAUAAAAAUAUUCUAGGGAAUGGCAAAUGAUAUCAAUCUCAUUGUAUCGUAUAAAAGAAUAUUAAAAAUAUUCUCAUUCAUAUUUCUAACAAAAUAUGUUUUACUAUCAUGUUACAAUUGACGUUUUGAAUUAUUGUUUAAUUGAUAAAAGAGAACAUAAUUGUACAUCUCAUACAUAAAUGUGUGUGCGUUUUCUUUUUAAAUUUUGUAAACGAGUAGUAAAUUAUUAAUAAGCUCUUAAAGCUAUUAAUACAUUAUUUUGACUAAUGGUAUUUUAUUCAUAAUUAAUAUUAUCAAGUAAUUCAAUGUCUUAAUAAAAAAAUGAAAGAUCUCAAAAUCAAUCAUUGUAUUACAUGUAAUACGUUACUGAACAAGUAAUCGUACUUGAUUAAAUAGUUUCGCAAUUGACGACAAGUGGAAUUCAAUUUUGUCUCUAAUUAUAAAUAAAGCACGCUCAAAAUUUUGUUCAUAUUAAAGGAAACUCGUAUUUCAAACAGCAAUUUAUAUUUAUAUAUUUAAAUUUGCAGAAGCGACUUUAUCGAAAUUCUUCGGUUAGCACAGCCUUUAAAAUCGUUGCCGUUAUCCUUAACCAUCGAACGGCGAGUGUCAAUAGGAUGAUGCAGUCACUUAAAAAUGCGACCUUCGCGCUGCAACUGCGUCGUAAGCGUCAAACGCCAACACGACUGACGAGGGGCGGGAUAAUCUUGUGUUAGAAGCCCGAUGAUUCCUUUGCUUUCUGAUACACACGUGUUCCGGUAUAAUUUAUCAUUCUUUAAAGUUCCGAUGCCUCCGGGAAUAAUCUGCAUGAAAGUCGAUGUGGAAUAACAAACGAGUGGCCGCUCGUGACUCAUAAAUCGACAAGAACGAACGUACAAAUGAACGAACGUUCAACUAAUUCAACAUAAUUACAAAACCCAGCUCGUAACAAUUAUAAAAAUGACCAUUAAGCUGGAAUAAUUAACGUACGCCAACGGUGACGUAACGUUACACAUAUUCUUGAUAAACGACGGAUACCGAAGCUCGAAAGGAUGCAGCGAAAUCCGUGAGGACCGAUCGCGAGUCCAGAGGGGCGGCGGGAUCGGCCCAGGUAGACAGGCAAAUAGGGCAGGCAGGGGAAAUCUCGGGGGAGGGUUUGGUUAGGAAAAAAACCAGCGGGGCUGGCGCACUGCCAUGCACGAUGGAAACGCAAACUAAUCGCGCAAUCUGCCGGUGCACGCGGCAAGUCAACUCGGGCCACGAAGAAUUUCAAUCAGCAAUAAUACCGCCGCCGCGCUCUUCAUCUCGCGCCCAGCGAGAUUUCCUCCCCCUCCCCCCCUCUACUCCCCCGCGUUCGCUGCCAUUCUCGCUGCCACCGUGCGCCUCGCGGGGUCCCACCUCCUCGGUUUCGCGCGCGUGCGACCGUGUUCCUCUUCUCUCGCCACUUCGCCUCACGCCGGUUACAAAUGGCGUCAUUAUUCCUUAAUAAUUCGCGAUACCGCGAGCGGCGUAUCUAUUGUCCGGCGCGGGCGGCGGACGCUGAGUCGCGCCGAUCGGCCAACACUUGGCAGACCGCGCCGGCCUCCUUCUCUCGCUUCUUUCUUUAUUUUUUUCCCCCCCCUUGGUCCUUUCCUCUCGUCACGGAGAACGCGCGGUCGGUCUAUCGGCCCCCCGUGUUUAUUAGCACCGUCGUGGCAACGCGAGAGGCCCCGGCACCUCCACCGGCGGGUAAAGAUGAGCGAUUUAUGCGGCGCGCGGCGCAUCCGAUGGUACACCCGGCGAUACCAUCUUAUAACCGCUUCCGUGCUCGGUAAUUGAAGUUCGACGUUUUCGGCAGGCGGGCGCGAAACGGUUCCUCUUCAUACGCCGCGAGUCGAGAUAAGACCGGGCACACACAUCGCAGGGUAUCGCCGAUAUGGCAGGCAAGAUUUGUUGUUGGCAUGAAAAAAAAAAAGGACGUUCGGCCGCCUCCCGGCUCGGGGCACCGUUCGCUCGCUUCUGUCUUCUUCUCUCUCUCUCUCUCUCUCUCCUUCUUUCUUCUUUUCUUCUUGUUGCUUUGUUUCGAAUUCCGCGCGUUGCUCUUGCAACGAUUACGUGUAUACGUGGUAAAUCGGCAUGUGUCAGGAUCAGAAGAUAUACGGGCUGAUCGAUCGAAACGGAACGAGUCUGUGAUCGAGUCUGACCUGAAAGGAGUCGUGGGCCAUCGUUACGCGAAUUAAAUGCCGUAAUGAUGUAACAGAUAGAGUCGGAUCUCAAUAAAAUAACCGACGAUCAUCCAGUUCGAAAGGGGAGGGGGGGUAAUGAAUGUUGUAUCGACGUUGACCAGUUUCUAAUGACAGCGCUACUUCGACGGGUACCGAUAAACCGUAUAGCGACGCUUAUUCCACGAUCACGUCGCAUCUCUAGACUUUCGCGUCCAGCUAUAUCCUGCACACGUUUAUCUUCCCUCUCCCAUCGCCAGGUUCAAGGCACGCCACGUCGCGGUCCAAGUGUGUAUACAACAGGCGAACAAGCUGUCGUCAUAUGGCGAGUGGUGAUAACGACGGGCUGAAAUAGGCAAAGUCACCGAUCGUGGUAGGAAGGGUGGAAGCGAUGGGUGUGCGAGGAUCGGUGCACCUUCCACGCCAGCGGAGGUCACGUGGGCGUAUCGAACCGGAGAGAUUAACUGCCUCUCGCCUUUUCCGCGGAUUCACAGCUGUUGCACCACCUGCCGCAUCCGCCCUUUUCGCGCCCGUUUAACGCCACCUACUACUACGUGAGGCAUCGCCGUCGUCGUCGGGAUGCGCCGCCGCCGACGCCGUCGUAAUGUUAAUUGCAGGCUGCGGACAGUAGCCACGUGAUAGCGGCGAACACAAGCCGAGUACGCGAGCGCAAUAAUUCACCAUAGGAUGGAAGAACGACGUUGCACACAAGGUGCGAGAUAUUGCGAGGUGAGCCGCGUGAAAAUUGCUUCCGUUCUGUGUGUCGCGGAAGUGCGGCCGCAAUAUCCGUUCUAACAGCCGAAACAGUUUUGUUUGUGAUUCCGAAGUGUUGCGCAGCUCAAAUGUUAGCAUUAGGUACGUUUAGACAGAAAUCAAAGUUCAUCAAGCCGCAACAACCUUGUUUUAUAACAAUUUCAUUAUCAAAACAGUGAGUUCGAGUCUCUCGUAAAUAUUUAGACUUAUAAAGUUAAUUUGCUAUUAGUAGAAAUGUUGCAAUUAUUAGUUUCAACUUCAAGAGAAUAAUUUUGACUUUAACUAAUAAUAUUCAACUCUGAAGUGGUAUUAUGAGUAAAUCUUCUCACUCAAUUGCUAACUUAAAUUUAAUAAUUUUCAUAAUUAAGAUAAAAAUUUUGAUAGCUUAAAAUUGCAUUUAAUAAGAUAAAGAAAUAAUGUUACUUUAGUUAUUCUAAUAAUAUUUUGCAACAUAUAAAAAAGAAAAGAAAAUGUAAAGAAAGGUAAAAAAUUCUUAAUGUUGUUGGAUAAAUUUGUAUCCAGAGAAUUAAUAUAAAUGUUAGAAUUAAUAUAAAUGUUAAUAUAAGAAAAAUAUAUAAGUAGUUCUCUACGAUUAAUAAAAUUACUCUAGAUGGUAUUUUGAAGCAUCAAAUUUUGCAUUAUUAUAUAACAUUUUAAUAUUAUACGAAUCGAAUGUGAACACGGUAGAUUGGGCCAUAAAGAAACCAUAUAACAAUCUUUCGAAUUUCACGUAUUUCUUUUAUUAUGAAAAAAUCAGCAAUCACUUAACAUAUUCAGCUAUUUAUUAUUAUGUAAUACAAGCUUAGAAUAAGCUGCAUAACGCAUAUAAUUUGCAUUAUAAUAUUGAUAGGUCAAGAAGAAGGAAGAAAUGCAGAAGAUCAUGUUCCGUUACGACGUUUGCAUGAUGUUAACUCGACAUUUAUAAAUUUAUCUGUUGCUUCGAAAUAGGUAGGAAGUUUCAGCAUAGCUUAAGGCCAAUUUCGUCUUGCGUCGAUGCGUACGAUUUCGCAGAUGCAUAAAUAUGGUGGAUGAUCGAGGGGAAGGAAGAAAUGAAAGCAAUGAAACGAAUGGCAAGCAAUGUUAAAAAGCAUGAUAAGGGGAUUAGGAUUCAGCGGUAUGCCACUCGUAGAGAUGGAAGGUUCGAGUUCUUACCAAGAAUGGAGAAAGAUAUAAAAUUCACGAUUUUACAACUUUUUAAAUUGACGUUUAUAGUUAUGAGUUAGCUGCAUGUCGCUGAAUCAUUGAUUAGAAUCAAUCGGGAUAUAAUAGGCAUUAUUUUCCUCUGCUUGUAGCACCUGUCACGCACAUCGUUCAUAAAUUAAAUGCAUUUCUUAAUGUUAUCAAUAAUAUAUGCACUUUUCAGAAAUACAGCUUUGAAUUAUCACAAAUAUAUUUCCUGAUUACAACAUUUCUUCUUAAUGUGUAAAUUUCCUCAUAAUGUAUUCUUUUGUACAUUUACAUUUAGUAUAUACAUCUAAUAUAUGGAUGACGUGUGAAAACGGUCAAUAAUCAACGGGCAAGUUACCUCACAUCCAUUUUCCGAGAGCUGCGAGAGACCCAAGGAAACCUGCGUCAAGCCUUUAGGGACGGAGAGCUGAUUAUAACCUAGGGAACUGGGCUGGAGAAAAAUUAGGGAAACUAAAACUAAAAGUAGACUAGAAACCUGAGACUGUAUCAAGUCUAAAAGAAACCUAGUGAGUGAUGAAUCUGGAAGCUGUCAAACUUAAGAAAAAAAUAGAUUGAGCAGUAAGCCUGGUACAUAAGAUUCGAUAUAUUAUAACAUUGAGCUGGAACUGACAACCUAUACCAAAAAUCACAGAGAGACUUUAUAGAUCUAGUGAUGAUCUAGGAACUAAAAAUAUAAUCUCACCACUAUUAUAUUCUAUUAUUACAAUGUAUAAUUACAAAAAUAUGUACUACUUAUAUAGUGCUGUGAUUGUUAACACUAUUGAAAAAUAUAAUUACACUCAAUGUGAAUAAUAUUUCUCGCGAUCGUUCCGAGUCUAAUUUUGUUCCUAUCGUCAUCGCUCAAUAUUCUACAUCUAACCGCGAUAUCCUAAUAGCGCGCCUAAUUAAUUGAAAACGGUUACGUUCAGCUGUAGAGAGUAUCGCAAGUCCCGAUCGAGAGCCGUUCGCGGAACGAUUGUUGAAAACAUACAUCCGCCGCGCGAUUCCCGGUUGCUAUCUACGUUUCUUAUCACCACGACGUGCAGCGCUGGAAAAAAAAACGCCCGACCGUUUCCGAACACGGCGCGUUCAAAGCGAACGUAGUUACGUCGGUAUCGCGCGGCUCAUAAAUUCCAAAUCCUCUUUUCUACCGUAGAAUCCUCUCGUUUCGCUCGGCCACCUCUCGACCUUCCUCGGCGAUCGAUCGGUCGAUCGGGCCACGACAAACCACGCGGCUGCACCACGACGAACUAAACCCCGGCUCGUGCGUUCGGACUCUCGUCCGACCUAUCGAGCUCACGCGACUCCGCUCGAAGCAAGCAGCCUCGUGCGUUUCCUCUCCCGUCUCCGCCUUUCCUCCUUCCGCUUUGAACACGAUUCCGGCAUAGCGGAAAUAUCAGACUUAAGAGACGCGUCCACAAAACGACUUCUCCGCCGCGAUAGCUUUCACGAAACUCGGGAUGACAGCGCGCAUUAUUCCCAAGCGUUGCGACCCAUGCUCGAGACGACAUUCGAGUGAUUUAAGUUGUCAAGUUGAGUUUCAAGUGGGUUUACGCGUCAAAACAGGUGGAUCAACACAAACAAACUUUCGGUAAGCAGAAACAGAGCAGCACGAACUGUUUGCGAAUAGGAAAUCAACAAAGAACAUGGUUUCCCAGGCCAAGACGUUGCGACCUCAUAGAUACUACCAUCUUAACUGCGUUCCUGGUUUUGUUUCCUGAGAAAAAAAAAACCAAGAUUUAUAGAUUCCUAUACGCGUCCACGUGUAUCCACGUUUCUGACGUUAUGACAAGUAAGAUAACGACUUAAUUUACAUUUUUUACGUUCGAGACAGACAGUUUCGAGGCAUCAAAUUACUUCAGCCUUCUUCUUUAUGGCUCUUAAAAAGAGAUAAAAAUCUCCUUCAUGUAAAUACACAAUUAAGAGAUGAAAAUAGCUGGUGCAUAUAAAAGUUGCAAUUCUAUUCGCUCUUUUAUCCACAGCUUACAUCGUUCUUCCCACCCACCGGCUCAUUUAACACUAGCACAUCACGGCCGCAGCAACGUGCCUUUACGCAACUUCAGGCGUCUAAUCGAUUCGACGAUCUUCCAAGCGACGCGACCCGUUACGGGCAAGGGAGGUGAAACAACACGGAGAUCAAGCGCGAAGCUGAGGUUUAAAGAUCGAAAGAAUGUUGAAACGCUUCCACGGUUCGUAACGACGACGAUGCGGACGCGAAUCAUUAAUCCUCGGAACACGGUGCCGUGUAGCUUGUACCUACCUGUGAUUACGAUUUUUUUUUUUAUGUCCUAUCUAUCUCUCCCCGCUGAGACUUUCUCCGCCCCCCCCUCCCCUACCACCGUUCCCGGCGAGACGCACCUUCUUCCCUUAGUGCCUCGUUAUGUGCCCGUGCCUUUGAGGUGCAGGGUGACCACGGGGGAAGGUACACCUACGCUCAUCGGCGACUCGUGUUCCCACACGCGAGGCGUGAACACCGCCGGAUAUACGUGCGCCUCGGCGUGCGUUAUCUUCCCGUGGUAUCCAACCGCUUCGCGGUUCGCGGGUGGUAGGGGGAUACCCGGCGAGGACCGACGUGCAUCGGCGAUUCUAUCAAAGCCGGAAACUGCGCGGGUUUCCGGUUGUACGACCCCGACUUGUCGCCGCGGCUUCGCUUUCACGUGGCUUUAAGCCAGAGAAAUUUGUAGAGAGAAGUCACUUGGAAUUAGACCAUUGUAACAGAAAUUGUACUUUACCGUGUGUAGUUGUGUUACAAAUGUAAAUUUCUUAAACGUUACUUUAAAGGACAAUUUUAUGAGUCACGGUCCAAACAGGAGAACCUUUAUUAUGUUGCUUUCUUAUUAAAUUUCUGCCGCAAACUAUAAAUGUCGUCAACCAUUUCAGUGAUCAAUAGCGAGCUGGGUGGUAAUUUCUACCUACACGCCAGAGCAUGGAAACAGUUACGACCCCCUUCUUAUUAAAUUUCCACCGCAGACUAUAAAUGUCGUCAACUAUUUCAGUGACAAAUAGCGAGCUGGGUGAUAAUUUCUGUGUUUUAGCAGUGUCGAGACACAUUAAAAUCGUUGCAACCGCUUUCCCGUAGAUCCCGUCGUCGUCAUAAACCGGCAACUUUCCGCAUAAGCGCCAAGGGGAAAGGGGCCCCGCCACAAAGGCGAAAAUACGUUGCGGCGAUGCAUCAUUUUCAAUAAACCCAUAAUUACACGGGUAUCGGUGUAAACACGUACGUCAUCCGCGUCCCACUCUGUUUUCAGCCGGCGCGCCGUGAAAGGUGCCAAUUUCGUAGCCGGCGUAGCCGCGUAUUAUUUGCGUACGCAUUUGCGUCCACCACGCGAGAGCUUACGUCCACGCAGCCAUGCGUGCACGCGGCGCGAGUGACAGCGGCGCGAAGGUUUCCCCUCCGGGGGAUCCGCGCGAUCGCAGCUCUGUUUGAGCUUUCGAUCGACGAGAACGAAGCCAGCCAGCCAGCCAGCCAGCCCCGCCGUCGUCCUCCACCGUGACGCGGAAUCACGUGUUUAUUGUGCGCCGCUUCGCCCCGUGAAGAACGUAAUAUACCCCGGCGUUGCGUGUGCGUGACUUGUGUGCACAUCCGACGAGUUGCGGGCUAACCAACCUGUGCCGGCGAUAACUCUCCGGACAUGAUUGCCGGGACGGAUAAAUGUCAUAUCAUUGAUACGCAGUCACGAAGACGCGAUGUCGACUCGGGGAAACGUUUCAUGCAGUCAGCUAAGCCGUUUAAAAAACGAUUGGAAGAUUGAAAUGUUCUUUUAUCCGUUGAUGCCAAUUGUGUCGGUAGACAGUAGAUGUAUAGUAUAUUAGUUCAUACUAAGUAUUUGUAGUCGAAAAGAUACAAUAUGAAACGCAUGUAAUACAUAGCCAACUUUGAAAUUAUAUAUAUAGAGGAAAGUCACCGAUACUGGCACACCACUUUGUUUUUGUUGGACAGUAUUUCUUAAACAAAAGUUAAAAUUAAAACAACAAAAACAGAUGAAACUGGAAAGUGUCUUCUAUCAUACAGCAUUAUUAAUAAUACCGUUGCAGAUUUUAUAAUAAUUAAAUGUUUUUGCAACAACAAUAAAAGGUGAAAAAUUGGAUCUCAAGAGAGACUGGCAGACCAGGUAACAUUUUCCUUUUCUUUUCCUUUAAAAUGAGUCAUUUGUACAAAAUAUUAAGUUAGAUUUGUUUUUUUAGAUUUCGCAUGGAAAAAAAUAAAUGUAUGAACUAUGGGUUUUUAUUUCCUGAAUUAUAUAAGUAGAUCACGUUUCUAUCAGCCGUGAAACAAUACAGCGUUUCCGUGAAAUAAAAUUGCGCUGUUUUAGGAAGUCAAUGCCGGUGUUGGCGACCUUCUUCCUCCACGCACAAGAUUCACUGCGUAUGCUGUAAGCGGAAUAAAUCGGCAGAGAUAACGUUAACGAGGAUUAAAGAAGCUCCGCGAUAAACGAUUUCCCAUUUCCAUAAAUUAUACCGCGUAUAACGAAUAUAAUGCUUUCAUUAACAAGCAAGCGCAGCAUCUACGGGGCGUAGAGGCUCGCGCGCACGGUUCUCUGUGGCGCUGAAUAAGCUCGUUUGUUCGAUAAACAGCGCGACCAACAGCUCCGGAGCGUUUGAUCAACGCCCAGCCGUCCUAUUAAUUAAAAGCGGCCGAGUAUCACUUCGUUAGGGGCGUCCGAUGCGUCAUAAAGGCGCGCGCGUUAUACGCACGAGGCGGGAGGAGGAGGAGGAGGAGGGUUGGGGGGAGGAGGGAGGGGAGAGAGAAAAAAGACGAUAGACGGGAGACGAGGUAGAGAAAGCUUCGUAAGAAGGACACGAUGCAAAUAGCCAUGGAAACUGCCGCGGGACGGACUCGUUAACGCCCGGAGUUAUGGCCUGUCCACACCGCGCGCGGCGCGGAGCGCAAAGUGCGGAACCUCCGGCUGUGUAAUUUGCAAAAUACUAAUUACGCGUUCGCUAUACGGCGACGACGCCGGCGCGUGCUCCGAGUCGUUUACACCUCGCGCUAAUCCGCGCAAAAAAAAAAUGGACACUUCGCACGUACGUAUAUUGUUAGCCCCCUUGUUAAUAAUGUCCAUGGCCCGUGUGUGUUCGGGCCACAUCGGAGGAGGUGCCGCUGCCGAACGACGCGACGCGCCCCAUGUGACGUUAACACGCGGCAGCGUGCAUAAAAUAUCGCUCGUAAAAGAGCGGACGGAGGGCUCGGAAGAAGCGGGAAGCGAUGUAAAAAGAAGAGGAAAGACCGGAGAGGGGCUGGGGGGAGAAAAAAUACGUCGCGAUGAAAAACGCGCGCUUGGGAAUCCCCGUUCCGGCGAAAAUCCUAAUCGUUUUCGCUUGCCGCGAGGAUAUGAUCAAGCGGCAAUCGGCGAUAAGUCGAGUACAAACGGAAUUCCCUUAUAUAUUACCAAAAAACAAAUUUUGUUUUGCAGGAUCCGAAACGUUGCCUCGCGCCGAAUUCGCCGAGAUACGCAGCGCCGCAACUUGAGAAGCGUUCGGGAUCGUUUUGCAUUAGCGCAGCUGCAACUGCAGUUGCAGUGUCGCCGUGUUCGACGGCUUUAGCGCCGUGUAAGGUGUGUUAUGCCUGUCCAGGUUCGGGAAUACGACUCUCGUGCGGACAUAACGCGACGAAUGCGUUACCUCACUCGUUCCUUUGUCGCGUGGUCAACGCGAGAUGUGCUACCCUUAACGAUAAAGCCGUUGCUACACGCCCCGGCCGCUUGUUGUUGAACGGCGCGACUGCAUUACCAUAACCGACGCGAAUGGCGGCUUAAAGGUACACGGCAACCGCCGAGCGUAUUCCGCGUGCUAAUAAUACAGAACGCGCAUCGGAAUGCAUCGGAAAUGUCAGACGGGGAGAAGUGCGGCGAUGGCACGCGGUGCUAUAGCGGAGAAAUAAAAGAAAUCCCAAAUUGAAUAGCGGCCGCCGAUACUUCCCGUUGCACGGACAGCUAAUUACACAACACCGAUAAGGCGAAUUAAUUUUUUAUCGCCGAUAAAAAGUAUUGCCCCGAGCAAACCACUUAUAGGGUUGUUACAGUUGAUUUUUCGAUAAAAUCAAUCUGCAUAAUUUUUCUUACGUUUGAAGCAAUCAAAGCGACUUGUUAAACAUGUAUAUAUAUAGAAUGUAACAGAACGAAAUUUAUGACAAAAUUUAUGUUAUUUAAUACGAAACUCAUAUUUAAAUGCAUAUUAAUCAUAUACAUCUUUCCUGGGAAUAACUUUUCAAGCACGGAGCAUCUUCACGGUUAAGUGCAUGAGCGUUCAAUCGCAGUUCCUUCAUAUUAUAUGUCUUAAUAGGUCAUCUAUUCAUAGAAGGAAUAAAAAUUGUGGAAGAUGGAGCUAUCUCGGAUUUCUGAGAGGCCGGCACUGACUGAAUGCAUCGGUGCUUCCGAGAAAUAGUUCACGUAACUCGGUUCUCCUGGCCUCUGUCAAAUCGUGCGUUAGAGAAUAAUUUGUAGCCUAUAAAAUCAUAUCUGUGCGAAAGCAGGCGUAUUAAUAUUACACCUCCCGUCCGUGACUGUCAUAAGUGCCUUGUCUAAUUGCAUGUGAAGAUAGUUAUGCAAUUCUCCUCUUGUAAAAGAUCGCGAGGGGCUCACGUUUUACUACAACCUUUUACACGCGUCUUCCGAAACGUAAUGCACGCCAGGAGGGGAAAAAAAGACAAGCCGGCAUGUGCAAUCGAUAUUCAAGUUCGACUUCCGCCAUGCGUACCUGUUGCUGCUAUCCGUGGGAUACGCCUAGGAUACGCCUAGCUGAUAGCUGCCAUUAGUACGUGAUGAUUAUUUCUGCAUGCCCCAACAACGAUUUCCUGAUACCGGAGCGGAAUGCAAAUUUCGAGCCCGAGCUUGAGCGCGCAGUGCUACAAUGAAUUAAUAUUAACGACGAUAUCGUUUUCGCGCCUCGGGGCACGAUUCUACUUGCCAUUAGACAAUCUAAUCCAGCUUGCGCGUAGCCGUAACCUUUUGAGAUCACGUGUCCGCCGUCGUUCAUAUCUCGAAGCGCGCGAAGCGUGUACGCGGAGAAUAAAUUAAUAAUUUGUCUGUUAAUCCGUUAGCCUACUAUGCCCUCGCACACGUGACUGUAUUAUCUUCAUCUAACAUACUCAAUGAAACAGCGUGGCGCGUUUAUAGAAUGUAUAUAGGAAAUUGAAUAGAAAUCAUAAUGUCAAGAAUAUUGCAAAUUUUAUCGAAACAAAUUACGUUUUUAUGUAUUCAACACAAGAUAAUGCCUAUUACCUUUUCACGUAUAUAUAAAUUCUUUUACAGUCGUUAAAAAAAAAUUUUAUUAUUUGAAAAAUGUCUCCCAAUUAGAAGAAUAUUCUACUACGAUUCCUUUUCGCUUUAUCUUUGUGAUUAUAAGGUAUCUAGAAAACUAGAAUUGAUUUAUUUGCAUGGUGUAAACUGCGCAAACUGUAGUUACGAAGGAAACAAUUAACACUCUCGCAAUUUAGUUACGUAAAUAUUUAUUACACUCUUGAAUUAAAAACCUGCCACGAGUCCAAAACUUAUAAUCUUAAAAUCCUCCUGUUGGAUGAGCGGAGAAGGAGCGAAGGGAAGGACAGUAAGGGAACUUGAAAAGUUUGCUUGAACUUGGACGAAACUUUGCUCAUAUCCAAUGUGGAAGCUGUAAAGGGCUGGAUGUUACCCUUCCUGCGAAAAAUCGCCGCACCUUCAGAGCAUCACAAUCUCUUUUGUGUACAAGACGAUCUAUCACACAUGAAUGCGUUGCAUGUUAAUACAAUGUUUGUGCCAAUGUAAACGACGAACGCUUUCUAAAGUUGUAAUUCACUUUGAGAAUAAAAACUAGUUGCUGCUUCGAGAUUAUCUUGUGUAUGUGUGUGUGUGUGUGUUACAAAAAAAUAGUAAAAAUAAUCUUCCAAUAAGAGCAAAUAUAAAUGCAAAAUCUAUUUAUUUAUUGGAAACUUUAUAACUUGUAUUAUUCUGCAAGUAUGCAUUUUUCAUGUUAAAUUUCGCGAUUAUAAGGAUACAUAUAAUCAUUGCGUGCACGAACUGAAUUAUAAUAAUCGUGAUAAAGAAAACUGCUUCAGACACGACAUCAUGAUCUCAUAUCAAUUAUGAUCUAGUAUCAUAAUUACAGUAUUAUAGCUACAAUAUUCGUCCUUAUAUGUAUGGUAAUGAAUAAAUUAACAUAAUAUUCCUGAUCUAAUAACUCUUUUAAUUUUUUAAAAAUUUUAUCUAAUUUAUUGUGUAUUGCCAAGUUACAGCAGAGUUAUAGCAACAACAGAUGUAAAAAAAUACAUGUAUAGAUAUGCAAAAAGCAAAAGGUAAAGCCCCAGCAUAACAUCUAUUACAAAGCUCACCCAAAAUACAAAGAAGAUCGAGCUAAUGACAUAAGUGCAUCAUACUUAGGCUAAACACUUAAUACGUCUAUGCAAAUAAAUACUACGAUUAGACUACACUGAUACAUUUACACAUAUAAAAUAUACACAGUAUCGCAAAAAAAAAAAGAAAAAACGGUGAGUAACAAAAAUUGUCCGAUGCAUAUUGAUUAACAACAAUCUGUUUGGUUUUUGGAUUUAUUAUUCAUAAAUAACGAUACUCAAAACAAUAUUUAUUUAACAAAUAUGUUAAAUAACGGAAUUUUCUGUAACAACAAAUACGUUAGACUAACGUACUUUUUUUAUUAUAAAAAUUUUGAAUUUCUAAAUGUACAGUUGUUUACAAGAAAAUUGUGCACCUCGCAUCGGAUCCAAAAGUUAUCGCGCUGUAAAAAAAGAGACGUUCUGCGAUUUAUUUUACACGCCUGGUUUGAGAACGUACUGUUUUUAUGGCGAGUGGCUGCACCAUCAAACGACUUCGCGCGAUAUCUUCGAUCGGCAGCCGGAAGAUGUGCCGGUCGGAUGCUAGCAGGAUCCUCAUAAACGGGGCUGGAUUUUUAUUUCGUUGCACCAGUGAAUUUUACGACUCUUCAAAUUUCUGGCAUUCCGAUGUGAAAUAGUGGGAAUAGAAUAUUUUCUACGUCGCGCAAUUAUCGGUUCGAGAUCUUUAAACUAGGAAUCUGUCCGUUUCUUUUAUCGAUGCACUGACAAAUUAUUACUCAUCCCGCGGAUCGGCGCGGGCAAGAAUUUAACGAUCGAUAAAAGCCCAACAGCUGUGUCUUUAACUCUUUACGGCAAGAAUCGUAUUUUCGAUUCCCGGUGGGAAUCCAAGGUACGUUUAUUGGUAGCAAACUUAUCGUGCGUUUUCGCGUAAAAAUGCUGGCUUUUGCGGACGUGCAUAACGUACCUAUAAACGAUAAAAUACAGCAAUAAUUUAAAAAAUCAGAUCACGCGAUGUUGCGCAAUGCUCUUGCAAAAGAAUCCUUCAUCUUUAGGAUAGGUUGUUUCACCUUCAAGUAAACUAUCCGAUAAUUUAACUGACAGUUAAAAGUGUGAGUUGCGUUGUUCCACUUUUCGGCAAAAUUUAUCUCCUUGGUAAAUAGCCAAUACCGACAGAUAAAUUACACGGUGCUCUGACUACCGCGUAAGCCACUUAACCAACAGAUAAGUGUACGUACUACGGUGGAAAUAGAAAAUUGAUGGAAGAUUGGAGCACAAUAUGACUGUGGAUUGGAGUGUAGGUUAGAUUAUCCGAAAUUUUAUAUUAUUAUAUAAAAAAUGGAACCAGAAUUGUGUGAAAAUCCACUAGUUUAUGAAGACGAAGGUAAUAAUGAAAUUGAUGAAGAAAUAAUAAUAGUGAUUCGCAAAUAAUACACAGUUCGUCCGCGUCCAAAUUUUAUUAACAAAUAUGAUAAUAUAGAAUUCAUAAGACGAUUUCGAUUUCGUAAAGGCACUGUCCAGAUGAUUUUAGAUCUCAUCGAAGAAAGAAUAAGGAGCAAAAUUGACAGAUAGAUAUUAAACAUAUUUUUUACUUUAAGGUUAAUUUGUAUAAUUUAUAUAUGUGCUAUAUAAGCAAAGCUAUUCAUGCAGCUAUAAUUUUAUAAUAUCAUGUUAAUAAAUAAUAUAUUUUAUAAUAUAUUAGUAAAUAUACAUAAUAUAUUUUUAUUUUAGAAACCAUGCUGUAUCAUCAUUACACCAGCUAUUAUUUACUUUAAGAUUCUGCUUGAAACACAUACUCAAGCUGAGCAAUUAUACAUAUAAUGAAUCCCAAAUACGAACACGAAAUGUUGUUGAAGUUUUAGAGUAUGGAAACGAAGAUUUGCUGCACUGGCAUUUGGUUUAACAAUUGGCAUUUGGUUUAACAAUAACCCUUAACUGCACAAGCUAUAACAGUACUUCGACAGAGAUAUUGAAGCUGCAAUUGAGGAAUUGGAAAUCCAAAAUGUACAAUAUCAUAAUGACAUUGAUAAUGCUAAUGCGCGGCGAUCAUUAAUUGAUGUAUAUUUUGCACGGUAACAUUUUUUAUAUAACAAAUCAUAAAAUAUAAUAAAAAAUAUUUUUUAACUAAUUUUUGUUUACAGUUUUGUUGGUUAAAAUUAUAGGAUAAAUAAUGAUGAAACAACGCUCACGUAAAAGCUACUGGUAAACUGUCCGGUAAGAUUUACCCUAAAAAUAGUAACCUGCCGAGUAAGCCGAAAUUUAUCGGAAGAUGGAACAACUUAUCCUUAAGGUGGAGAAUCUAUAGCAAUUUUUAUAAAAUGUUAUUACUCGAACAUUGCGUCUACGCGUACGUCAAUCGCGAAUUACGAAUAAAAAUAUAGGAACGUAAAUUGUCGUAAUAAAGCUUUCUUGUCUGCAUUAAGCUUCCUUUUGUUUCAAAUAAGCUCUCACGAAUAGUUUGUAUCUGUCGAUAAAAAAGAGAUGAACAAGAAUUAUGUCUAUAAUUACAUGCGCACUAAUCGGCCGAUUAUUUGCUCGCGCGGUUAUUUCAUUUCGUUUACGCGCAAUUAAACAGGCGCGCGUAUUCGUAAAUGAUAUUCUCGCGGUUAUUUCAUCUUUAAAUACAACGUACAGCGCCUCGCACUUCGGUGAGGAGAAAGCUUAUUGAUGCUAAGGCCAGGAUGGAGAUUCUUAAGCAUCAAUAAUAUUAUUUCGCGGAGAGAGGAUUCUCGAACAUCAAUAAUAUUAUUCCGAACUGCUUCGUUUGCCUCCUCGCGGUUACCGGUUGGCGUUAAAGAGUCUGAGAUACGUUUGCCCCCUGGCCUCGCGAACGUGAAUAGCCUCCCGACAUAUUUCCAAUUAACAAGCAAUCAACAAGCGCUAUUUCGCGGCGCAAACAAUCGUAAUAAAACGUUCGAGCAUGCGGCGAGCAUAGGGGGGGGGGGGGAGCAGAUGGGCGAGAUUACAUGGGUGAGAUAGGCCGGCUAUCGAUUUAAAUCAAAAAAACUAUACGGCGAACUUUUAUCUACCGCAAUGAGGGAAAUAUUUACGAAGCUAUAAGAAGCCGCGUGCGCGUCUCCUCUCCUCGCGGGGUUUCUAGCGUCGCAAAAACGUCCUGUCGCAACUCUCUGCCUAUAUUCUAGAUGCGUUACACACACACUAGACACUUUACACCCUGCCCCCUACCCGCAGUAAUGCUACCGUGCGACUGCGGCGGCGCGUUUUCAAUUAAGCAAAUGUUAAUGAAAUAUCGUAUUUCUAAAGUGUCUUCAAUUAUCGUGCGAUAGGCACGUACGGCGUGUACACGUACGCGCCGCCUAAAUUAUCUCACGUGUUAUAAAAUCUUUCACGCGGCAUAAAACAGAGCCAGACGUGGAAAAGUGGGUAGUUCGGCAGCGGGGGCUAUUUUAAUUAAAAUGCCGCGGAAAUUUUUAACUUGUUUCCCAAUAUUAUUAUCACGCGUGCGAAAAGUGAAAGCUGACGGGGGAGGGAGAGGGGGAGACAUUAAAGACUACGACGGGGGCAUGAUCUGUCGCGAAAUUGACAUAUAACUAAUAUUAACCUCUUUUAUCGCAAUUGAUUUUGCAUAACUCGAAAUGUAAACGUUCUUUUCACGGUUGGGUGCCUUCUCGCGGUUGAUGUGUGAUGUCUGCUGAAAAAAAAAAA